rnacentral:rRNA from 1 species
CUGGCGGCGUGCCUAAUACAUGCAAGUCGAGCGGACCAAAGGGAGCUUGCUCCUGGAGGUUAGCGGCGAACGGGUGAGUAACACGUGGGCAACCUGCCUGUAAGACUGGGAUAACAUCGAGAAAUCGGUGCUAAUACCGGAUAAUAAAAAGAACUGCAUGGUUCUUUUUGAAAGAUGGUUUCGGCUAUCACUUACAGAUGGGCCCGCGGCGCAUUAGCUAGUUGGUGAGGUAACGGCUCACCAAGGCAACGAUGCGUAGCCGACCUGAGAGGGUGAUCGGCCACACUGGGACUGAGACACGGCCCAGACUCCUACGGGAGGCAGCAGUAGGGAAUCUUCCGCAAUGGACGAAAGUCUGACGGAGCAACGCCGCGUGAGUGAUGAAGGUUUUCGGAUCGUAAAACUCUGUUGUUAGGGAAGAACAAGUGCCGUUCGAAAGGGCGGCACCUUGACGGUACCUAACGAGAAAGCCACGGCUAACUACGUG